rnacentral:rRNA from 1 species
UCGAGAAUCUUUCGCAAUGGGGGCAACCCUGACGAAGCGACGCCGCGUGCAGGAUGAAGGUCUUCGGAUUGUAAACUGCUGUCAGCUGGGAAGAAAAGCCGCGUUUUAAUAAAUCGUGGUCUUGACGGUACCAGCAGAGGAAGCCACGGCUAACUCUGUGCCAGCAGCCGCGGUAAUACAGAGGUGGCGAGCGUUGUUCGGAUUUAUUGGGCGUAAAGGGUCCGUAGGCGGUUCGAAAAGUCGGAUGUGAAAUCCCACAGCUCAACUGUGGAACUGCAUUCGAAACUUUCGAACUAGAGUAUGAGAGGGGUAAAGGGAAUUCCCGGUGUAAGGGUGAAAUCUGCAGAGAUCGGGAGGAACACCAGUCGCGAAGGCGCUUUACUGGCUCAUUACUGACGCUCAGGGACGAAAGCUAGGGUAGCAAACGGGAUUAGAUACCCCGGUAGUCC